UGUCAGUAAAAUUGUUUCCUUUGUAAUUUCAUAGUCAUUCUUCUGAUGUGCUGCACACUUGCAAAUUGCUAAAUGUCGCAUCACAUGAGGAGUUUCCUCCCGUGUAAACAGAUGUGUGCCAUGAUAAAACCUUCUCCACACACUAAAAACUAAUUUCAACUGUUGUUACAUCUUAUUCACUUUUUUUAUAAUACAGUUAUUUUUCAAAUCUAAUAUCAAUCAACUAAUUUGCAUAUCAGCUUAUAAUGCGCUAAGUUGACAGGUCAACAGAAAUGCACGUUCAAAAGAUUAUCACAAAAGAGAAUUUCCUCCAUACAGUAAAUUACUUGUGUUGCAUCAAUCAAGCAGAAAGCAUCUCACAAUUUAUUGUAUUACCAACUAAAUUUAUUGUCUGAUCACUGCUUGGUCAUACCAGACUCUCUCUGUGUCUUUAUUUUUCCUUCUUUGUUUUCACAAACGUUUCACCUAUUGUCCUGCAAGCUGGAGAGUUAAAUGUCAGUAGUGGGUAAAUUCAGCAGUUGAUAACAAAACUAUUAAUUUUUUCCUGUUUUAACACCAAUGUGAGAUAUAGAGGCGCACAUAUAGUGUGUGCUCUAGUGUAAGCUGCUCUUCAUUGCAUGUAUGUGUGUUAGUACGCUUGCAUGCAGGGCCUCUGGGCCUGUCUCACCCAAAAGGGCAUUUUCUUAACAGUUGCCUUUCACUCGCGUGUGUGAAGAAAGGCAAAUGUGCUUGUAGCAGUUGUGAGAUUAUUAUGCUGUCAUAUAUUACAUUAUACCUGUAAUCAAAAUGAGUGAAUCAUAAUACUGCUGUAAGCCACAUCAUACUUCUUAGUUAAAAGAAUGUGAAAAUCAUUAGAUUUAUUAGAUAGGUUUGUAUUAUCCUAUACUGCUGAUUCACUGCUGAUUUACUGUGAGUGAGUUACACUGUUUCAUGACAUUUCAUACUGCCGAUUUAAAAAGAGUAUUGUGUUCAGAGAGUAGAGGCCUCUCUUUUCUUUUUUUUGUGAUAGUAAAGAGCCACGGGAGCGUCACCCCCACCCUUGGUGGAAGCAGAAAAACAGGGAGCCAAGGUCAUAACUCAGGCUCACAAAGAGUCAGAAAGAAUGUGAAUACUUAGUUUUGUGGCUGUGGUGCAUUUUGUAUGGCUUCUUUUCUUUGUUUAGUAGCUUUCUGCCUUCACCUGAGGGUGUGCCCUAAGCAUGUGACUUCAGGUCUCCAUAAUUGGAGUUUAUUUAAAGAUAAAUAAGAUGAUUUCAUAUAUUGCUCGCAGAUCAUGCACUAGACGGUAUGUUGCAGUAUUAGCCUGCUUCAACACUUAAACAAAACAUCACUCUUUGUUUUAUUAUUAUUAUUAUUAUUAUUAUUAUUAUUAUUAUCCUGUCUCAAAACAGAAAAUUAAAUUGUAGUUGUUCUUGGCUGAGAAACACAAAACCUCUUUUUUUUUUUCUUGUUUUUUUUUUUUUCAAAACAAGAAACUAAGUUUUAAUUUCUCAGCCUUGUCACAUAAAACAAAACAGAUAACCCAGCUCUCAGCUGGC
ensembl:lncRNA